rnacentral:rRNA from 1 species
GAUGAACGCUGGCGGCGUGCCUAACACAUGCAAGUCGAGCGGCAGCGAGGGGUGCUUGCACCCUGUCGGCGAGCGGCGGACGGCUGAGUAACGCGUGGGAACGUGCCCCAAAGUGAGGAAUAACUGCCCGAAAGGGUAGCUAAUACCGCAUAUUAUCUUCGGAUCAAAGGAUUUAUCCGCUUUGGGAGCGGCUCGCGUCGGAUUAGGUAGUUGGUGAGGUAAUGGCUCACCAAGCCGACGAUCCGUAGCUGGUCUGAGAGGAUGACCAGCCAGACUGGAACUGAGACACGGUCCAGACUCCUACGGGAGGCAGCAGUGAGGAAUCUUCCACAAUGGGCGAAAGCCCGAUGGAGCAACGCCGCGUGCAGGACGAAGGCCUUCGGGUUGUAAACUGCUUUUAUAAGUGAGGAAUAUGACGGUAACUUAUGAAUAAGGAUCGGCUAACUACGUG